GAAUUGCGACAGUUGGAGACACUUGACGACUUUGAUGAUGACGCGGGGGAUGACGUUCCCACCAACAUGGCGGCUGCCCGGUCCAGCAACUUGUGCCGCAGCAAGUCCGGCUAAAAAGCCACGAUUUGGGCGACGGCGACGGGCGUUGACGCGGCGAGGGCCGUACCGAUGGUGAAGACGAUGAAGACGAUGACGACCACGCCCAGCAGCAUGGCCAGGAGGCUGAGCAGCAGAGACAGGCGGCCGUACUUGCGCGCCGCCUCCACGUCGCCGUUGUUCAGCACCGAGCGGGACUGGCGAGGGGGGGGCACAAGCCACAGGUCAGAUGUCAGUCGCGCGCGCUCUACUCAAGUACCGGCGCACAAGACCGCGGAAAGGUAUCGCUGCCGUGCCGGGAGCCCACCCCCGCCCCCCGACGUGUACGACGGCUGCGGCGUUUCAACGUGAAAGGUUCGUCGUCGGAAGGGGACGAUUUUCAGGUUUGAAAGUUUCUCGCGAUAAGGCGGACUACGUUUGAAUGGGAUAAAGAAACGUCAAGUCUUUCUUCUUCCAACGUG